ACCCUCUUUAUUUUACAGAUACAGCUUCUGAGGAUCACGGGGAUGAAAGGCAUGAACUGGGCUCACACAGCUAGUAAGUAAAAGAAUCGCUAAAAUCUAAGGUGCUGGAUUUACCAGGGCAGUGGUCUUUCCAGUUGAUAAUUCUGAGAGAAAGCUGUGGGGAAAGAAAGCUGAAGGAGCCCCCGGGAUUGUCUGUACUUGUGGCUUUCCAUAGAUGGGAGAGUGAAUUUCAAAAGGUCUGUCUCUGGUAUCCUGCCUUCCCAGUUAUGAAGAUAUGCCUUUGAAAACUUCCUCAUCUUAGCAGUGCCUUCUAGUGCUAUAUCCCAUUGAAGUUAACUAUUCCAGGCCUUAUUAUUUUUCCGAUUUAAACUUUAGGGGAUUCAGCAUUUAGUGCUCACCUUUUUGUUGUUCAUACACUUUUUAUGUGCAAUUUCAUUAAAAGGUGAAUUCCAUUGAUGACUUACCUAGCAAGCUUAUUGAGGAAAAUCCUAGACUGUUGAUCCCAACUAUGUUGAGUGAUGUGGAAACAAUGAGGGUUUCUUUAGGUUUGAUCAACAUGGGGCAGGCUGGGAGAAAGCUCAGUGGUCAUAUUUCUGGUUUCUAAGAAUUUGAGUUUUUGAGUGUGCAAGUUAUCCCAGGGAACAUCUUAAAUUGUUUUUUGGGGAGCUUGGACCUCUAAUAGCAAUUGUACUUGCAAAAUGUUUCUAAAAGUACAGGUGCCGAGCAGACAUUCAUUCAGAAGUGGCCAGGUAUGGUCAAGAGGUCAAGGGCAGUCCUUUUCUCUUGUGUUCAGGGUGACUUAGUCAAGAUUUUCUAUUACUUAUUAGAUAACUUUGAUUUCUUUUUUUGCAACAUAAUUCCUAGCUCAUUGUAGUACAUAAAUUGCACGAAGAAGAAUCUUCAGACAGAAUAAGUGGUUGCUUUGGAAAUGGGGUAAAUUUAGGGUCCAAAAGAAGAUUCCAAGUCAUAAUCAGAUACUUUCCCUUAGUCAUGGAAAAGUGUAAUUUUACUGUAAUUCCAUGUUUAUGGAGUAUAAUAUAAAUGACAAUAUGAUUUUAUAUUUGUAAUCUCUUUUAAGCAUCCUUUGUUUUAUUAAUUUAUAUGAAAGAUAUACUUGAGUUCCCAUUAUGUCCCUGACAUUGUUGGUAAGGAUUUUAUAGAUCCAGUGAGGGCUACUUAGCUAAAUAGGGAUGAACAAAAGCUUGAACUCACAGAUUCAAUGAUCUUUCUGAUCUAUCAUGUGCCAGGUCUUCUAACUUCUGCUAUAGGCUUCAUUCAUCGGGAUUUGUACUACUUACUCAUAGCAUAAAACAGUCAAAUAGAUGCAAAAGGACCAACUUGGAUUUGAAUAUUAUGGAGUAAGCAUGUGGAUAAUUGCUUAUUUUUUUCACUUUUUAAGCACUUGUGUCCAUGCUAAGUAUUUGAACAUCAUAUUUCAGGCUAUUUUGUCUUUUUCCUGAACUGGCUGCUCAGCUUUGGGAACAAUGUUGACCAGAGCUAUUCCAGACCCUCCUUAGCUCAGAUGUAGUUUAUUGAUUGACUCCUUUAUUUGAGUGUACCCUGGGGCCCAGCCCCAUGCUAGGCCCUGGAGAUGGGUCAGAGGGCUGGUGUGAGAAAGCAGUGCACAAACCUCAGUUUUCUUUUCUCUAAAAUUCUAAACCCUCAUUUCCAAAUAAUAAAGUUUAUUUCACAGAGUUCUUCUGUGGAUCAAUCAAUAUAAGGCUAGCAGAUGCACCCUAAUAAAUGAUAACACAUGAGAUAAAUCAAAGGCAGCAUUAUGGGUAAUUAUGGGUAUAUUACAGGAUAAUAUAAAAGACAGUGCAUGUAGCAUCCUAUAAUACAUGCACACUGAUCUCUAAGCUUCUGUUGUGCAGGAGCUGGGUGUUAUUCAUUGUUGUAUUCUUGGCCUCUUCAACAGGAUCUGACACAUGAAAUUUGAGAAAAAAAUUUAGUGAAGUGAUAAAACCAGGAAGUGUAUAGAUUUUAAAGGAAAAGUACAGAAUAUAAGUUUUAUGAAACUGCACAGAAAUGGGGAAAUUCAGUUCCAUGGAGAGAGAUGCAAUUACUUUUGUGUAGUAUUAAUUUAAGAAAGAACUUUCUGAAACUAGAACUAAUAACCAUGGAAUGAAUUACUACAAGAUUGUCACAAAUAGAAGUAAGUUUUCUACUCGAAGGUAUUCAAAAGAGAACUGGUGAAUCUACCUAUCAGAAAUGUUUUCUACUACAUAUAACAAACCUAUGUGUGUUCUACCAGAUCUCAGAAAAAUAAAACUAAACAUGUGGGUACUUGAAAAAGUUUGUGGAAAAAUGAAAUUAAAAGAUAAACUUAUUUCUCAAAAUAAAUUCCAUCAAGGUCAAGACACUUUUGUAAGCAAUAAUACUGGUCAUUUAGUUCAUCCCUAAAGAACUGAGAGUCCUGGGAAUUUAACCAGGCCAAUGCAGUCUUUUUCACAUUGUUAACUGAAUAAAAAUGGGUGCCUUCCAUAGAUUUUUUUAAGAUUCGGAAACAAACAGAAGUCAGAAGGAGCCAAAUCAGGACGGUAAGGUGGAUACCUAAAAAUUUCCCAUCAAAACUCUCCUCAUAUUUCCCUUGUUUGAUGAGAAGAAUGAGCAGGAGCAUUGUCCUGAUGGAGAAGGACUCUCUGGGAAAUCUUUCCUGGGUUUUUUUCUAUUAAAGUUUUUGCUAACUUUUUCAAAACACUCUCAUAAGUGGAUGUUAUCAUUGUUUGGCUCUCCAGAAAGUCAACAAGCAAAAUUCCUUGAGUAUUCAAAAAAAAAUUGUUGCUAUGAUCUUUGCCCUUGACCAAUCUACUUUUAUUUUGACUAGACCAAUUCCAUCUUUUGGUAGCCAUUGCUUUGAUUGUCCUUUGUCUUCAGGAUUGUAUUGGUAAUGACAUGUUUCAUCUUCUGUUAUAACUCUUCAAAGAAAUGCUUUAGGAUCUUGAUCCCACUUAUUUAAAAUUUCCAUUGAAAGUUCUGCUCUUGUUUGCAGCUGAUCUGAGUGCAAUGAUUUUGGCACUCAUUGACUGGAAAGUUUCUCACCUUUAAUUUUUCAGUUACAGUGGUAUAAGCAGAAUCAAUUGAGGUGUCUAUGGUGUUGGCUAUUGUUUCUGCUGUCAAAUGUCAGUCAGUUGGGUCAGGGACAAGAUUAAUUUUUUCCUUGAAAAUUGAUGUGGGUGGUCUGCUGCUGCAGGCUUCAUCUUCAACAUUGUCUUCAGCACAGCUUGUAAGUGGCAGAACCAGGAUUUGAAGAUAUGCCAUGAAAGCCAGCAUCUGUGUACUCUUAACCAUUACACUAUGUGGUAGAGAAGCAAACUCUCAUGCUUAUCUAUCCCUUUUCUGAGACAUACGUGACUGAUGUGAGCAAACCAGAGAGUGUGUGCGCCAUCCAAAGAAGGCAACAGACCCUCAAUUCCAGGCACUUCUUGCCAUGUUGGAAUAUAUGUCUAGUGUUGCCAGAUCUUCUGAAUUUUAUAUAGCAUCACUCGGUUUUAAAUAUGUCAAUUAAGUAGAUAUGUUCUUUAACUCAUGUAUGUAUAUGUGCAUGCACACAAAUAUACAUGUAUAUGUACAUUAAAGCAAAGUUCACACUGAACCAACAUGUAAGCUAUGUUUGGUUUACCUACUCUGCAUUUGUGAAUUCUAACUUUACUGAAACCAAAUAACAAUCUACAUUUUCUAACACACACAUAUACACACACACACACACAUACAGAUUAGAUGACUUGUUCAAGGUGAUAACAAUUGGUUAACUCUGGGCAUAAGAAGGGCAUAGCUUUUGAUCUCACUACCGUAUCUAUUCUAUACAGUGUUUAUGUAAAGACCAGGUGAAAAAAGCAGCAGCUAACGAGGGAGUUGCCAGCCCUUCACAUAGAAUGCAUCUCGACAAACCUGUGGUACAUUAAACUGGUAACAGAUUCUUUUCUGUUCUUGUCAUUGAGAGAGGGAGUCUAAUUCUUCUUUCUUGGUGAUUUGCUUGACCAACAGAAUGUGGCAGAAUAAAAUUCUGGCAUUUCUGAGAUUAGUCGUAGGAAGUCUUGUAGCAUCUUGCCUGACCAAGUGUCAGC
rnacentral:lncRNA from 1 species